CUGUGCAUUGUGCGAAUAAUACAACAAGAAAGGCCUUCCGUGGAAGGCCUUUUUUUCUGUUUCUUCUUCGUGCGCUUCAUUAGCUCCAGCCCGAACGCAGACCGACCAGCGGAGAGAAACUCCUUCCUUGACGGCUCCAGCGAGUUCCGGACACACCGGGUGGUCAGCACCUACCCGUUACGACACAGAACCGGGUGGCAAGCCACACGGAUGAACCGAAAAGUUGCCAUUGGUUGGGGUUGGCUCCUCGCAACGCGGAUCGCCGAGGGUGAGCAGUAAAAGGGUCCGUGGCUAACAUGCAGGUCACCACAGUACGGUCAAUCGUAACCCACGUCAGCAUGUUCCGGUCCGUGAGUAAAUAACUAAGAAAAUUGUUAGAAUAAGCAAAGAAGAUAGGCAGAUAGGGCCAGUGAGGAAUGAGAUGGAAUAAAUUGGCUCAUUGUUGAUGAAUA